rnacentral:rRNA from 1 species
AUUGAACGCUGGCGGCAUGCCUUAUACAUGCAAGUCGAACGGUCGCAGGUCAACGGAUGCUGACGAGUGGUGACGGGGGGAGUAAUACAACGGCACGUGUACGAUCGCGGGGGAUAACGGGGCGCAAGCUUUGCUAAUACCGCAUACGGUAUAAGGUUGAAAGCGGGGGGUUUUAGGACUUCGAGAGGGCGGUGCGGUCCAUGGCAGAUUAGCUAGUUGGUAAGAUAAUAGCUUACCAAGGCAACGAUGAGUAGCCGAUCUGAGAGGAUGAUCCGCCACACUGGAACUGAGACACGGCCCAGACUCCUACGGGAGGCAGCAGUAGGGAAUCUUGCACAAAGGGCGAAAGCCUGACCGAGCAACGCCGCGUGAGUGAUGAAGGUCUUCGGAUUGUAAAACGCUGUUAUUAGGGAAGAAAAUAUGUGUACGUAACUGUGCACAUCUUGACGGUACCUAAUGAGAAAGCACCGGCUAACUACGUG